CACUAUACGAAUGGCCCCUAUUUAGGGAGCCUGAAGUUAUUCGGCGUCAGUGUUCAAAUAAUGACCGUUAAUUAAUUAGCUGCACGUGCGACUUUUUCGCCUCAGUUAUGACAUUGCUUCAACCGUCGGCUCUGGAUUUACGGUUAAAGUGAUUAGAAAAUGCUGAAGUUACCCGUCAGGCCUCUUGUGCCUCUGUCAGCACUUGCUCUGCUCGGCUGGUGCUGGUACACCGUUAGGAAGAAGAGGAACCUAUGCGAGAGAGCUGAAGAACAAUUCUUGGUCUCAUUUGCUGCUAGAAAGCAAAGCAUAGCAGAGAAUGUUACGAUACAGGAAGCUGCCAGUGGAAAUGCGCUGGAUUCGAAAACACGUUUUCAGUCGCAGGAAAAACUAGCAGAUGACCAAAAUCAUGACAGCUCUCAGCCUAGCAGUACCAUGGAGGACUCGUCUGUCCUAUCUCCGACCCCACAAACCACUAUUCUCACCUCCACGCCAGUUCUAAAAGGAAUUCGUCCAGAACCAGAAGGAGAGGUAUCCAAAGUGCAAGCAUCUCUGCUUCUGGCCGAGAAGCCAGAAACGGAGACAGACAAGGAGGAUGAGAAUGUUAAAGGUCACUCGGACAUUAAAGCCAUCAAGACGGAGUCUUUUGCACAGCAGCCCACAGGGAUCGUGUGCCCCAAAGAACACAGAGUCGCUAACGUGUCUGAAAAGCAAUACGACAGCGGCCCGUGUCUGAGUGAAGCCGAUGGCCUGGUCAUUGAGGUUAUCAGUGGUGUUGCAGAAGAGAUCACAGCAAUUGGUGGCAUUUUAAAAAGAAAAGGUCAUGUGGAACCAAGGGUAACUCCGCAAAGCCAAGUGCAACUUGAAAAAACUGACGAGGUGAGUAACAUUUUAGCGGUCACUAAGAAAGAUCCCGGAGCUCUUACUAAGACUAUGGUGGAAAGUGUCUCUUCAACACAUAAGCAGAAUGACCUCCCUACAAUGUUACCACCAUUGGAGGAUUCAGGCUAUAGCAUGUGCCAUUCAGAGGAUGGGGUAGAAGCAGAGAAAGCUUCUAGCAAGUCUCAAGCUGUGGAGAAAACGUCCUUCAACGUUUCAUUAUCUUCUGAAUCUCACCAAGCCAUAGCCCCCAAAAAUGGAAAUCUCUCAAGACAAAAGGCAGACACCUCUAAAGUUGUUAAUGGAGCACAGUCUACGAGUGUAGAGGGCAGGGUCACCACGAGUCGAGCCACGCAGUCUAGAAAUUCACCCCAUACCCUGUGGAACAUAGAGGUGCCAGCGCACCUCAUUGGGCGAUUAAUUGGAAAGAAAGGGAAGUAUAUUUCCUUCCUGAAACAAAGUUCUGGUGCGAAGAUCUGCGUGUCUGCUCUUCCGUACACAUACGAGUUUCAGAUCUGUCAUAUAGAGGGGUCUGAGGUGCAGGUGGAUAAAGCGCUGGCACUAAUCAGAAAAAAGUUCAAAGAUUUGGAUUUAAGCAACCGCCUGAGCUGUUCACAACCUGCUGCAGUCCAGUCUCUACCCAUCACUUCCUGGCUGCCACUCCCACAGGAUGGAACUGUGGAGGUCAUUGUACCACGGGUGGAGGCAGCAAAUUACCUGUUUGUGCAGCAGCACACACACUCCAGCUAUUAUGGCCUGUGCAGUCUCACUGAGCAGAUGCUGUUCUGCUACUGUCAUUCAGGAUGCCCCAGCCUGCCAACUCCUGUGGAAGCAGGAGUUUUGUGUGCUGCCCCGUCUCCUGAUGGUGCCUGGUGGAGAGCUCAAGUUAUUCAGCAUUACAAAGACUCCGAUAUCGUACAGAUCAGAUACGUGGACUAUGGAGGCUAUGUGACUGUUAACCUCACCUCUCUGAAGCAGAUCAGAUCAGAUUUUGUGACUUUGCCUUUCCAAGCAUCUGAAGUUAUGUUAGAAAACAUUGCACCUUUGCCAGGAAAGGGGACAUUUUCAUUUGAAGCCAAAGAGGCUCUUGAGGAAUUAACGCAAGGGAUUCCUUUGAUCAUGAAGGUGACUGGCAGCCAGAACGGACUGCCCUUAGUGCACAUGUGGCGACAUACAGGAGAAAAGAUGAUGUCAUUGAAUGGAGUGCUGGUGGAUCGAGGGCUUUGCUCGUGGUUGGACAGCCGCUGAUGCCGAACCCUAAUGAUGUCUGCAAGGAACGUGUGUCAUAAUGCCUGAUCGUGGAAGAGGAUCUCACGCCGAUGUUAUUGACAGGUCCGGAUUUUAAAUGACGUUUCGACGUACCUCGCAUGUGAUCAUCAAGAGCUGCUCGGUAACCCAGGGAUGCUGCAGUGCUUGAAGUCUCACGUCAUCACCUGUACACGACCAGUUAGAAACUGCGGCUCGUCUUCCCAGGACCUCCAGAUUUAUGCUGAGGAAUCAAAACAGUGUGACCAUUUACAUUAUCCUGCUGAAAGAGGCCACGGCCAUUAAGGACUACUGCUGCCAGUAGGGGUAUUUGCAGCAGUGUUUAGAAAGGUUUCGAGUGUCAUGAAUGCCAGGACCCAAUGUUUCCCAGCAGAACCAGAGCAUCAACCUGCCUCUGCUGGCUUGCACUCUUCUCACUGUGCAUCCAAGAGCUUUCUCUUCCCUAGGUAAGUGGCACACAACAGACUGUCCACAUGAUGUGAAAGAGAAAAUGUGAUUCAUCAAACUAGGCCACCUUAGUUCUAAUGCUCAUGUAAACAUUGCAGGCGUUUUUGACAGGGGUCAGCAUGGCCGUCUGCCCACUCUGUGGCUUCAGUACAAUAGGCAACAGGGUCAUGUAAACCCAAUGCUCAUUUCAUUUAUGGCAAUACAUUUUUUAUUUCAGUUUAUACAACUGAGGGUUAAGGGCCUUGCUCAGCGGCCCUACAGUGGCAGCUUGGUGGACUUGGGGUUCGAACCCAUGACCUUCCGAUCAGUAGUCCAACACCUUAACCACCAUAUCCCCCAUUUCUUCAUGGGAAUCAAAGGUCAGUCUGUAUGUUCUGAUCCUACAGAUCAGCUAAUGUAGGCAUGCUAGCAAGGUGUCAGAACAUAAAAGUGCAUCACAGCUUGCUGCAUAGCCACAGAGUGGUCAGUCUGCCCAUGCUGACUGCUCAUCCACAGCCAAAUGUCUACAAUGGAUAGGUGAGCAACUGGAACACGUAGCAGCGGAAAGAGUUUGCCUGGUCUGAUGAAUCAUGUUUUCUCUUCAAAAUCAUGUGAGCAGCCUGGUUUGUGUCACCUGGGGAAAAGAUAGCUCUAAGAUGCCCUAUAAGAAAUAGGCAAGCAGGUGGAAGCAGCAUGAUGCUCUAGGUAAUGGUCUACUGGCAUUCAUGCAGAUGUUGUUUUUACAUUACACCCACCUAAACAACACUGUUGGAGACAAAGUACCCUACUUCAGGGCAGGGGCCACUUUCAGCAGGAUAAUGCAUGCUGGCAUUUUGCGAAAAUUGUUCAGGAAUGGUUUGAGGACCAUGGUGUUGACUUGGCCUCCAAAUUCUGCAGUUCUCAAUCCGAUUGGGAAUCUUUUUGAUAAAUUCCAAUCUAUAGAGACACCACAUCGCAGCUUACAGAACUUCAGCCAGAUACCACAACACACCAUCAGGAGUCCGUGCCUCGACAGGAUGACAAAGUGCUACUACUAGUCGACAGGGCAAGAGGGCAACAACACCACAAAGAGCAACUCCAACCUCCAGAGUUCACUGAGGUGUGUAAGUGUAGAGUGCAGAAGAGGAUGGACACAGCCGUAACCACACAGAACACACGUGGUCAGAGCGUUUACCUGGCCCCGGGUUCUGUGGGUACGCCACGUAGCUGCCUCUUCCUCGGGCGCCCCUACCUGAGCCUCGUGCCGCUGCCACUGCCGCUGCCACCGGACCGUACGCCGCUGCCGGGAAACCUGACACACACACACACACACAAGCUGUUAGUACUCAUUAACCCUUUACUACUGCUACUCUGAUCAUAAUGUUCAUUACCAGGAGUCAAUUCAAUUUUUAUUUGUAUAGCAUUUGUGUACAAUUCACAUGUAAAGUUGGUCAAUAACGUAUUAAAAAUAGUCAAUGGCACGA